AACGAACGCUGGCGGCAUGCCUAACACGUGCAAGUCGAACGAAGGCUUCGGCCUUAGUGGCGCACGGGUGAGUAACGCGUGGGAAACUGCCUAUUGGUGGGGAAUAACGACGGGAAACUGUCGCUAAUACCGCAUAAGCCCUUCGGGGGAAAGAGUUAUCGCCGAUAGAUGUGCCCGCGUCCGAUUAGCUAGUUGGUGAGGUAAUGGCUCAGCAAGGCGACGAUCGGUAGCUGGUCUGAGAGGAUGAUCAGCCACACUGGGACUGAGACACGGCCCAGAGUCCUACGGGAGGCAGCAGGGGGGAAGAUUGGACAAUGGGCGAAAGCCUGAUCCAGCAAUGCCGCGUGAGUGAUGAAGGCCUUAGGGUUGUAAAGCUCUUUCGGGUGGGACGAUGAUGACGGUACCACCAGAAGAAGCCCCGGCUAACUUCGUGCCAGCCGCCGCCGUAA
rnacentral:rRNA from 1 species